ACGGUCGCGGUAACGUUCGUGUUUUGUUGCGCGAAGAGAGAACGGGACGUUUCUGUCCUCGUCACAGUAAUGCCGCGUGUCUGUCAUGUCGGACGAGCUCACAAUUCAUUCCAAAAGGCAGGUAGGCAGAAAGGAAUCCAUUUUUAUUAACUCAUAAGCAGAGCUUUAGAAAAGCAAUUUCAUGCUUGAGGAAAUGGACCUGGAAUCUGGCAUUGUCCCGGUGAUUAAUUCGGCUUUUUCAAGAACAAAAGAGGAACAGACCACCAACCCCUGGGUGACCCAAUACCAACCACUGUAAAGCCAGCAGAUCAUCAUACUGUAAGCUUUCUUCCAUCAUACGCCUGCAAUAGCAACCUGCCCAACUGGACCCCCCCAUCCAACCCCCGGGGAUGUUAUCCACAGAAAGAAAAGACUAAACUGGGAAGACAGCUCUGACAUGAAGCAUUUCUCGCAUCCUCCUCUUCAUCAAGAUCAAACUUCUCAUCCUCAGGCAAUCAAAUGUUUUCUGACCACCCUGGAUGUCUACUGAAUUCCUGAGAAAGUAGCUCUCAGGUUCUGCAUCACGCAUUCUUGUCUCUUCUCCUCCUCUCAGAACUCUAAGCAGUUCCUCUAGGCCAGUAGUAUUCAACCUUGUCCGGCUCAAGAGCUACGUUGAUAAAAAAAAGAAAAAAUCUUUGCAAGAGCCAUAUUUCUAACCCAACUAUUUCCUCCAUCAAACCAUGAUGAAUUUUACAAUAAGGCUACUAUGAAUAUGUUAUUAGAAAUGAAAAGCAUGAUGUAUAGUGCAAUAGCUGUAAUUCACUAUUACCGCGUGGUUACAAAGGCAGUGUUUCCAAAGAAUUGGAAUGUCAGUGCAUUAUAAUUACUAAAUGCUUUCCCCUGACAAUUCAAUUGCUUCAAGUGCUAAUCGGUCCAUAGCAGCGACAACCCAUUGCUAAACAUCACAAAGUGCUUAACAGUUGGUAACGCACAGGUUUGGCAAAAUUCAUAACAGCAACCGACAGCCAUGCAUUAUGUGCGCCCACAAAACCAUCAGAAACACUUCAGGCCCAACCCCCAUUGGGGAAAGAUUUUGUGGUGUUUCCAUAGGAAAACAAUGAAGCUGUCAGUUACGACUCUUUCAAUUAGGACAAAAAGUGAUAGUGAUUGUAAAAAUCCCCCGAAAAAGUUACCAGGAAAUAGAUUUUUAAAAGCCAGAUUUGCACUUCUCUUUGAUGACAAUGAAACCAGUGGUGCCAGCUAUUAGCAUUAGCUGGCAAAAUGGCAUCUGCAACUACAAACACGUUAAAAACUGAAACCGAGCAGGUCUAGUUAGUUAGUCUAUGCAAAUACUUAGUCUACCUUUCAAGGUGACGGAUCAUAAUAUGGUUGACCUGGUUCCUUACUGGAGGAUUUAAUAAAAUAUAAGAUAUCAGGGAAUGAUAGCUUAUAUAAGGACACUGAAUUGGAUCCACCCUGUAACCACAUAAUGACAUGGGUUGUUUUGCCAAAAUUCCUCUGCUGGUCUUUUGGAAAUAAAGAUUGCAUGUAAUUUUCUGACAUUAUUAUGUAUUAAAAUACUAAAACAGUGA